rnacentral:lncRNA from 1 species
UUCUUUUGUUUCUUACACAAACAAUAUUAAAAAAUAAAUAAAUAUAUUUCUAACAUCUACUUAACACUGAAUUAUUUACUGAACAUAUUUUAAUAAUAUAAAACAUAGUAAUCAGUUGUUUCAAUAAAAUCUGAACAAAAAGAAAAAUAAAAAACAUUUCCACCAUAUCUUAAUUAUGUGGGGUAUAUUGUAAUUAUACCAUAAUAUCUAACCAAACAUAACUUAAUCUAAUUUAUUCAAAAUAGCAAAACUUAUAAAAUACCAUUGAAUCAUGAAUUCUUAAUUUACAAGUAACUCAUCUAAAUGCUCUUAUUUACUAAAAAACAACGAAAUUUCACCUCAAGAUUUAUAAAAUAACUUUAAAUCAUGAAAUGUUAAUUUAAGAGCAUAAAACACGAAUAUAA